CCCUUAGAUGUUCUGGGCUGCACGCGCGCUACACUGAUGCGCUCAACGAGUUUUAACCUUGCCUGGAAAGGUUGGGUAAUCUUUUUAAAACGCAUCGUGAUGGGGAUAGAUUAUUGCAAUUAUUAAUCUUCAACGAGGAAUUCCUAGUAAGCGCGAGUCAUCAGCUCGCGCUGAUUACGUCCCUGCCCUUUGUACACACCGCCCGUCGCUACUACCGAUUGGAUGGUUUAGCGAGAACUUUGGACCGGAGCUCGGGUGGUCAGCAAUGGCCGCCCGAGACAUACUGGGAAAUCGCUCCAGCUUGAUCAUCUAGAGGAAGUAAAAGUCGUAACA
rnacentral:rRNA from 1 species